rfam:Exophiala oligosperma strain CBS 72588 unplaced genomic scaffold supercont1.1, whole genome shotgun sequence.
GGGGGAUUGGCGCAAUGGUAGCGCGUGGCUCUCCUAUCAAUUGACAUAGUUGCUAAGCCAAGGUUGUGGGUUCGAGUCCCAUGUUCCUCG